GACGAACGCUGGCGGCGUGCUUAACACAUGCAAGUCGAACGGAAAGGCCCUGCUUUUGUGGGGUGCUCGAGUGGCGAACGGGUGAGUAACACGUGAGUAACCUGCCCUUGACUUUGGGAUAACUUCAGGAAACUGGGGCUAAUACCGGAUAGGAGCUCCUGCUGCAUGGUGGGGGUUGGAAAGUUUCGGCGGUUGGGGAUGGACUCGCGGCUUAUCAGCUUGUUGGUGGGGUAGUGGCUUACCAAGGCUUUGACGGGUAGCCGGCCUGAGGGGGUGACCGGCCACAUUGGGACUGAGAUACGGCCCAGACUCCUACGGGAGGCAGCAGUGGGGAAUAUUGCACAAUGGGCGGAAGCCUGAUGCAGCAACGCCGCGUGCGGGAUGACGGCCUUCGGGGUGUAAACCGCUUUCGCCUGUGACGAAGCGUGAGUGACGGUAAUGGGUAAAGAAGCACCGGCUAACUACGUG
rnacentral:rRNA from 1 species